CUUGUUCCCUUCCUGCCCCACUGGCCUGUUGGGAGGCAUAAGUAGACUCAUAGCAUGCUAGGUCCUCCCUUUUCAUUAUCUUCCUAGGAAAACAGUUACCCAUAGGAGCCCAGAACCUUGCCUAGAGUCACCCUGCCAGCAAGUGGCAGAGCUGCGAUUUGAAUCUGGGGCUUAUGCAUCUGAUUCUGCUGAGGAUGUCAAAUUACCAGGCUUUGGUCUAAGCAGAAGUCAGGGGACAGCAGUGAAAAGAGCACGGUUCCACACCUUGAUGCCGUCUCUCACUUUCCCUCUGUGUGACCUUGGUUAGUCAAAUAUACUCAGAGGAACCCAGGAAUGAUCCUUGGGCAGCAUCCAUGGCAAAUUCCUAAAUUGGGAGUCUGUUAUUCUGGCUGCUGAAUUGCAUUUACUCUGGGAGGCUGGACUGUAGUCAAGCCUUGUCCCAUCUCCAAGCCCCACCCCCUCCAGACUCUAAGACUCUGGAGCACACACAAGGAAAUAUGACUUGGAGAAAAUCAAGUCCUCUCAUAUUUUACAGCUUGAAUUUUGAAAUCCAUCAAACUCAACUGAGCCCCAGGAAGAAGAGGCGAAGUCAAUACUGGGCUUCUGUGUAACCCCAUCUUCUUCUUUACCUUGAAAUAAAGAGGAGACAACUUAUCAAUCAUCUGCAUCUCUAGAAAGUGCAAGCUUUUAGGCUAUCUGUGUUUUGGAAGUUAAUGUUAUAGAAGAGAAGAAAAGAACCUCUAUAGAGCUUUUGCAAUAAGGUGACAAGAGACUCAGAUUAUGGAAGUAAAUUUGGAAAGCCUUUUUCAUAACUAACACUAAUAACUUUUAACACAAUUUUGCCUGGGAAUUGUGGUGUUUCUAGCACUGAGGUUUUCUUAGCAGAUGCCACCAGUAAUAUCUGCUCUUGAACCCAGCUCUCUCCUAAAUGUCAUUUAUCUAUCCAUCCAUCCACCUAAUGGGGCUCAGGACAUGCUACCCCCAAAUAUGGCGCCUUAACAUUUGAGAAAACAGCAGGAAGAUCACUCACCCUCACCCCUACUCCCCACCUUUCUUUUCUAAAGCACGUCAUAAAAACCAAGGAGGAAUUUUUCUUUCUCCUGAAGCAGGUCAUAACACCCCCAUGUAAGAAGUGCCCUCCCUAUACCCAGUGGAAAGAACAUCCUUAUCUUAUAAGACAAAAGGCCACAGAGAAGAAUCUGAACAAAUAGGCCUUGCUAAGUUUCCCCUAGUUUAUUACCAUUGGAUUAUACCCUUUGUGCAAUCCUAUUUCUCCAUAACAGUCUACUUAUUCAUCAAACCUAGCAUGUAUUAAUAAAUACACAAGUUUAACCAUUUCUUCAGGUCUUCAUUUCCUUAUGAAGAUGCCCGUGUCAUGUAAAAUAUAAAUUAAGUAAGCCUGUGUGCUUUUUUCUUAUUAAUCUGUCCUUUGGAUGAGUGAGGAAAAUAUUUUUUUUCUCCCCUACACAUCCAACAAGCCUCUUUUCCAGGAUGUAGACUAUGUGCUAACCAGUGUUUAGAGCACUGCAGGGAAUAGGAUGUGGCAGGACAGUCUGCCAGGGAAAAAGAACCUGAUACUGUUGGGGCACAGAGAAAGAUACCCCAAAGUAUGGAAUUUAAGGGAAAUUGGAAGGCUUUAGAAACUGCCUUGGAACCAAGAUCCUUUUUUUUUUUGAGAUACAGUCUUGCUCUGUUGCUCAGAGCUGGAGUGAAGUAGUGCGAUCGUGAAGCAACCUCUGCCUCCCAGUUUUAGGCAGUUCUCUGCCUCAGCCUCCUGAGUAGCUGGGACUACAGGCAUGUGCCACCAGGCCCGGCUAAUUUUUGUAUUUUUAGUAGAGAAGGGGUUUCACCAUGUUGGCCAGGCUGGUCUUGAACUCCUGACCUCGUGAUCCACCCACCUCAGCCUCCCAAAGUGCUGGGAUUAUAAGCGUGAGCCACCGUGCCUGGCCAGAACUUUUUAACUUUCUUUCUUUUGUUUCCUUCCCAUCCAGUACAGAGAAGGGCUCUCUCUAGCAGUUCCCUUAUCUGAUUGAGGAAAACUUCCAAAAGAAAUUGAAUUGUGUUAAGACUCUCUCCUUAGGAAUCUCAUCAAAUAAUCGGGAAUGAUUAACUACCAGAGAUGAAAGGAAAUAGAAGUCAUCACCAUGCCCACAUAGACUUUUCAUCUAUUCUUUUUUUUUUUUCUUUUUUUGAGACUGUCUCACUCUAUGGCCCAGGCUGGAGUGCAGUAGCCACUGAAAUCUCUUCCUCCUGGGUUCAGGCAAUUCUCAUGCCUCAGCCUCCCGAGUAGCUGGGAUUACAGAUGCCCACUACCACGCCUGGCUAAUUUUUGUAUUUUUAGUAAAGACAGGGUUUCAUCAUGUUGGUCAGGCUGGUCUCGAUCUCCUGACCUCAAAUGAUCGGCCGGCCUCAGCCUCCCAAAGUGCUGGGAUUGUAGGCAUGAGCCACCAAGCCCAGCCUCAUCCGCUCUUUAGAGGGCAGCUCGGAAAAAUUAUCUAAGAGACUUUAUAUGCAUGGUAAGACAACCUUUGUUCACAGUGUAGUUCCACCCCUCACCUUCUAGUAACUUUUCCCAUUCAGUUUCCAAAGAAAAUUAUUGACAAACUAUUGUCUGCUCUUUGGGCUCAUUCAAUUCACCUGAAAAUAAUUUAUUACCCCUCAAAAUUGCCUAUACCCCUAUUUUUCUCUUCCCUAUGAAUAGGGUAUAAAUACUUCAACCAUCUGUCCUUUCUUUGAGUCUCAUAUUUGCAGGACUCCUGUGUGAUGUGCACAUUAAUAAAUGUGUAUGCCUUUUCUCCUAUUAAUCUGUCUAUUGUCAGUUUGUUUAGGAGACUUGAACCUUCAAAAGGAGAAGGAAAUUUUCUUUGCCUCUACAAUAACUUAAGGCAAACCAUAAAAUGCCUGCUACGGUAGGCAGAGGGUUAUGGGAGCACAGUGCAGGGGCACCAACGUCAUCUUGAGGGGCCAAGAAAGUGACAACUAAGCUGAGACUCAAAGCAAUGAGCAGUUAGCCAGGUCAAGGGCAUGGUGCUUUUGGGACGAGUGCCAGUGUUUCAGUGUGGCUAGAUGGGGAAGAGAGGAAGACAGCAAGUGUGUGUGAGUGUAUGUGCCUAUAUGGUGAGAAGUAAGGCUGGAAAGAUGAACAGGAGGGAAUUACAUGGCAAGAUAAGAAAUUGUGAGGGCAACAAAGGACCAUUGAAGAAUUUGAAAGAAACUCCAUUUUAAAGAAAAUGGAAGGAUCAAAUGGACAGUUUACGAAGAUCACUAUGGCUACAAUAUGUAGGAGGCAAAGAAGAGAGAUAGGGAGGUUAGUCAGAAGGCUGUCAUAGUGCUCCAGACUACAUAUGCUGAAUUAAAAAGUAUUCAUUGAUUAA
rnacentral:lncRNA from 1 species